UACGUAGGGCGCAAGCGUUGUCCGGAUUCACUGGGUGUAAAGGGUGCGCAGGCGGGCAAGUAAGUUAGAGGUGAAAUCUCACAGCUCAACUGUGAAACGGCCUUUGAUACUGCUUUUCUUGAGUUAGGGAGAGGUUGAUGGAAUUCCAGGUGUAGCGGUGAAAUGCGUAGAUAUCUGGAAGAACACCGGUGGCGAAGGCGGUCAACUGGCCCUAAACUGACGCUCAGGCACGAAAGCGUGGGGAUCAAACAGG
rnacentral:rRNA from 1 species